GACGAACGCUGGCGGCGUGCUUAACACAUGCAAGUCGAACGGAAAGGCCCUGCUUGCAGGGUACUCGAGUGGCGAACGGGUGAGUAACACGUGGGUGAUCUGCCCUGCACUUCGGGAUAAGCCUGGGAAACUGGGUCUAAUACCGGAUAGGAGCCAUUUUUAGUGUGAUGGUUGGAAAGUUUUUUUCGGUGUAGGAUGAGCUCGCGGUCUAUCAGCUUGUUGGUGGGGUAAUGGCCUACCAAGGCGGCGACGGGUAGCCGGCCUGAGAGGGUGGACGGCCACAUUGGGACUGAGAUACGGCCCAGACUCCUACGGGAGGCAGCAGUGGGGAAUAUUGCGCAAUGGGCGCAAGCCUGAUGCAGCGACGCCGCGUGGGGGAUGACGGCCUUCGGGUUGUAAACUCCUUUCGCUAGGGACGAAGCUUUUUGUGACGGUACCUAGAUAAGAAGCACCGGCUAACUACGUG
rnacentral:rRNA from 1 species